UAAAACUUUCAACAACGGAUCUCUUGGUUCUGGCAUCGAUGAAGAACGCAGCGAAAUGCGAUAAGUAAUGUGAAUUGCAGAAUUCAGUGAAUCAUCGAAUCUUUGAACGCACAUUGCGCCCGCCAGUAUUCUGGCGGGCAUGCCUGUUCGAGCGUCAU
rnacentral:rRNA from 2 species